rnacentral:rRNA from 1 species
AUUGAACGCUGGCGGCAUGCCUAACACAUGCAAGUCGAACGGUAACAGGGGCUUCGGCCCGCUGACGAGUGGCGGACGGGUGAGUAACGCGUAGGAAUCUUCCCAGUAGCGGGGGAUAGCUCGGCGAAAGCCGGAUUAAUACCGCAUACGCCCCACGGGGGAAAGCAGGGGAUCGUGAGACCUUGCACUAUUGGAUGAGCCUACGUCUGAUUAGCUAGUUGGUAGGGUAAAAGCCUACCAAGGCGACGAUCAGUAGCUGGUCUGAGAGGACGAUCAGCCACACUGGGACUGAGACACGGCCCAGACUCCUACGGGAGGCAGCAGUGGGGAAUAUUGGACAAUGGGCGCAAGCCUGAUCCAGCGAAUGCCGCGUGUGUGAAGAAGGCCUGCGGGUUGU